UACGUAGGGUGCAAGCGUUGUCCGGAAUUAUUGGGCGUAAAGAGCUCGUAGGCGGUCUGUCGCGUCGGCUGUGAAAUCCCGAGGCUCAACCUCGGGUCUGCAGUCGAUACGGGCAAACUAGAGUAUUGCAGGGGAGACUGGAAUUCCUGGUGUAGCGGUGAAAUGCGCAGAUAUCAGGAGGAACACCGGUGGCGAAGGCGGGUCUCUGGGCCGAUACUGACGCUGAGGAGCGAAAGCGUGGGGAGCAAACAGG
rnacentral:rRNA from 1 species